rnacentral:lncRNA from 1 species
AUGUCUGCUGGAAGCUUUGCAUCCAUCAGAUUUUAUCCAUCUCAGCUCAGAACAGCCAGCCCCCUGCCAUCUUCUCUGGGCUUUCUUCUAAUAAAAAUAUUUAUCUACCCAAGCAAGAAGGCCAGCUCUGGCAGCAGAGAGGUGUGGCCACGUACUUCACUCUGCUGUCAGCUUCUCCUGAGGUGCUCAGAGCUUCAGUGCCAGCUCUCCUGGGAAGCUGUUUGCCAUUUGCUAUGUGAAAACCUGGAUCCACCAGGAAGGGCUGAAGGAGAUAAAUGCCUGACAAGAGGAACUAUUAAAGCUUAAAAGAAAGGCCAAGCUCUGUGAAAUCCAGCACGGAACCAGGAUCUGCAACCUUGGAUUAGACCAGUGACCAUAAAACCGACAUGUGACUUAUUGCAGUGCUUUCACAAACUGGGAUACUGGAGCCUGCAUGGUUUGCUUUGCUUUUGCUUGGAAGAUGAUUUAAUGUUUUUCAUUGGAGAACAAAGUUUUGCAACUAUUCAGACAUGGAAGAAUAUGAAGGAGCAGAUAUUUUGGAAACCAGCUCUCUCUCUAAUGGUCCUUGGUGCAAGGUGAGAACUUUUAUUCCCCCUCCUCCCGCAGUCACAGAAAAUAUUAUCUUUCUGCUGUUUACAAGUGACUUCAGUAAAUCAUUGCCCUUGGACCAGACUGAAUGCAACCUCUGCAUCAGCUUUGUAAACAACUUCACAAAUUCCUUAGAGCAAGGCUGUGCUAAACAUUAGGCACAGAAAUGAAAUGGUGAUGUGUGUGGUUAAGCGUCUGUCAUCCACCUCACUGGAAGUUUCAAAUAUCUGAGUAACUGUAGGUUUCUGUGCUGUGGAAACGACCAAAAUAGUUUUUCUCGGUGCUUGGAGAAUCCAGAAACUCCAUAUAAUUUUAGCAAAGCCACUGCUUUAAGAUUUGCAGGUCAAAUACGUUGAGUAAAACCAUGGCAAGCACAGGGUAGGAUAAGCAUUAACUUGGGCAAACAAAUUGACAAUUUAACUGCGUGGAACUCCGUGUCCAGCAGCAAUUCCUCCUGCUCCCCCAGAGCUCAGUGCAGAGCAGUCUCAGCCUCAGGAAUGGGUCAGCUGUGCUUCUUGUCAAAUCCCAGCAGUGACGUUCAGAGAUUGUUUUCUGUUUGCUUGUGUUUGUAAUCUGAUCUCAUGUAAUAACAUUGUCCUCGGCUCACAUAUAACCACGGGGGUAGCUCUGACAUCCUGCCUGAAAAAAAACACCUUGUUGAUUCCUG